GAGUUUGAUCCUGGCUCAGGAUGAACGCUAGCGAUAGGCUUAACACAUGCAAGUCGAGGGGCAGCGAGGGUAGCAAUACCUGUCGGCGACCGGCGCACGGGUGAGUAACGCGUAUGUAACCUGCCCGCAACAGGGGGAUAACCCGGCGAAAGUCGGACUAAUACCGCAUAAAACAGGGGUCCCGCAUGGGAAUAUUUGUUAAAGAUUUAUCGGUUGCGGAUGGGCAUGCGUACCAUUAGGUAGUUGGUGAGGUAACGGCUCACCAAGCCUUCGAUGGUUAGGGGUUCUGAGAGGAAGGUCCCCCACACUGGUACUGAGACACGGACCAGACUCCUACGGGAGGCAGCAGUGAGGAAUAUUGGUCAAUGGGCGAGAGCCUGAACCAGCCAAGUCGCGUGAAGGAUGACUGCCCUAUGGGUUGUAAACUUCUUUUACAAGGGAAUAAAAUGAGAUACCGUGUAUUUUAU
rnacentral:rRNA from 1 species